AGGGGAUUGGAUGAGCACAUUGUCAUCCUUGAGGAUAGGACAUGGAAUACCCACUUGUUGUCCAUGAAGACAGAAUAUAAAUUUGUUUUUGAAUUGGACAGUGUGAGUUCUAUUCGAUCUCAUCCAAAAGUUUUACUUCAUCUCAUUAUUAUCUUCUCCAGAGGCGACAAACUGCUAUUGAUGAACUCAACAUACGCAGUAUAUUUGAAGAGAAUGACGUUGUUUGUGCUGUAAUCCGUGGUUUCCAACAUGAUGGAAGUCUACACCUACAAGCAAGAAGUCAGAAGUAUGGAAAGGUGUAUCUGUGAUCCUUGGGUUUGAAAUUUAUGUAUUCUUGGUGCUGAUCAUUGAAAAAAUGCUAAGGUGUUCAAAGAGGAAUUGUUUCGGGUCUCGAGGAGUUAAUCAAUGUUUUUGCUAUCUCCAUGUCCAAUUGCUUCAUAGAGGUCAGUUGCUCAGAAUCCCCCCUUAUCUGGUAAAGAGGCGCAAACAACAUUUCCACCACCUAGACCUGUAUGGAGUUGACUU